CAGCCUGUUCUCAACUUGAGAAAUUCUUCAGCCUGGAGCUGUGUGCCCUAACAAGCUCAGUCUGUAUAUUAUUGUUUGAGUGCCUGGAAUGCACACCUGGGACCUCUCAACUGGUGCCCACUGUUUAAGAAAGUAAACAGAAGUUGUCAAGGAGGAACACGAACAGGACAUCACAGUCUGAGCUGCCACGUGGUUGCUGGAAAUUGAACUCAGGACCUUUGGAAGAGCAGUGAGUGCUCCUAACCACUGAGCCAUCUCUCCAGCCCCAUGAAGAGACUAUUUUUAAGGCAACUGGGCUUGCGAGUGGAAUUGCCAUUGCUUG
ensembl:lncRNA